CACGUAUGGGGCGAGCGUUGUUCGGAAUUAUUGGGCGUAAAGGGCGUGCAGGCGGUUCGGCAAGUCUGGUGUGAAAGAUCUCGGCUUAACCGAGGGGACGCGCUGGAAACUGCAGGACUUGAGUUCCGGAGAGGAAGCUAGAAUUCCAGGUGUAGGGGUGAAAUCUGUAGAUAUCUGGAAGAAUACCGGUGGCGAAGGCGAGCUUCUGGCCGAGAACUGACGCUGAGGCGCGAAAGCGUGGGGAGCAAACAGG
rnacentral:rRNA from 1 species